rnacentral:rRNA from 1 species
CAAAAACAUAGCCUUUAGCAAACAAAAGUAUUAAAGGUCCCGCCUGCCCAGUGACACACGUUCAACGGCCGCGGUAUCCUAACCGUGCAAAGGUAGCGUAAUCAUUUGUUCUUUAAAUAAGGACCUGUAUGAACGGCUACAUGAGGAUUAAAUUGUCUCUUACACCGAAUCGAUGAAACUGAUCCCCCAGUCCAAAAGCUGGGAUAUUAACAUAAGACGAGAAGACCCUGUGGAGCUUUAAACUGCCUACCACACAGUUUGACCUGGCAUGUUUUUAGUUGGGGCGACUUUGGAGACAAACAAAACAUCCAAACACAUUAACCCAAGGCUUACACGCCACCGCACCCCCUACCAGACCCAAUAAAAUUGAACAAUGGACCAAGUUACCCCAGGGAUAACAGCGCAAUCUUCUUCUAGAGUCCCUAUCGACAAGAAGGUUUACGACCUCGAUGUUGGAUCAGGAUACCCAAAUAGUGCAGCCGCCAUUAAAGGUUCGUUUGUUCAACGAUUAAUAUCCUACGUGAUCUGA